GACGAACGCUGGCGGCGUGCCUAAUACAUGCAAGUCGAACGCAGUGGGGACGGGUGCGUAACACGUGGGUAACCUCCCAUCAGAGGGGAUAACAAUUGGAAACAGGUGCUAAACCGAUACUGAUGGAUGGACCCGCGGUGCAUUAGCUGGUUGGUGAGGUAACGGCUCACCAAGGCCACGAUGCAUAGCGGAGCGGAGAGGUUGAUCGGCCACACUGGAACUGAGACACGGCCCAGACUCCUACGGGAGGCAGCAGUGGGGAAUCUUCGACAAUGGGCGAAAGUCUGACCGAGCAACGCCGCGUGAAGGAAGAAGGUUUUCGGAUCGUAAAGCUCUUUUGUUGGAGAAGCGGUAUCUAACCAGAAAGCAACGGCUAACUACGUGCCAGCAGCCGCGGUAAUAC
rnacentral:rRNA from 1 species